ACCGGCACGGACGGCGGUGGUUCCACGCAGAAUUGAGUUUGAAAACUACCACAGCGCACUCGGAGUUUUCAAACUCACAGGUUUCAUUUUGCCACGGACGGCAAAAUGAAACCGUUG
rnacentral:sRNA from 1 species